rnacentral:lncRNA from 1 species
GUGAUUCCACUGGUCAAAUGAUGUGAGACACAGGGGAAGACCUAUGAAAGCCUGCUGGUGCUAAGACAUUGAGCUAAAUGUCUUAAGUGUUUCAGAGAGGCUCCAUCUGAUUGUGGAUAUUUUGCAAAUGAAUGGAUUACAAAAAAGACCUUCAAAGAGGAAAACAUUGUACUAGAAGACCUCUUCCCUGCACUCCUGUAGGUCAAUUACCAAAACAAACAGAUAAACAAACUGUGGACUCUUGAAGAAAAC